AGCAGUAGCCGCGGGAAUACGUAGGUGGCAAGCGUUGUCCGGAAUUAUUGGGCGUAAAGGGAGCGUAGGCGGAUGAAUUAGUCAGGGGUGAAAUCCCGGGGCUCAACCUCGGAACUGCCUUUGAUACUGGCGAUCUUGAGUAUGGGAGAGGUGUGUGGAACUCCGAGUGUAGAGGUGAAAUUCGUAGAUAUUCGGAAGAACACCAGUGGCGAAGGCGACACACUGGCUCAUUACUGACGCUGAGGCGCGAAAGCGUGGGGAGCAAACAGGAUUAGAUACCCCUGUAGUCCCUGUCUCUUAUAC
rnacentral:rRNA from 1 species